rnacentral:sRNA from 1 species
AGAGGCAGGGGAAAACCACGCAGAAGCAGGAGCUGAAGACCUCAGACCGGCACCAGGGACAGCUUAAUGAAGACAAACUGAAAGGGAAACUGAGAUCCUUAGAAAACCAGCUGUACACCUGUACCCAGAAAUACUCCCCUUGGGGAAUGAAAAAAGUACUACUGGAGAUGGAAGACCAGAAAAACAGCUAUGAGCAGAAGGCCAAGGAGUCACUGCAGAAAGUGCUGGAGGAGAAAAUGAAUGCAGAGCAGCAACUACAGAGCACACAGGUAUGGGGAUGCCACAUAGACAUGGGGCUGGGGACUCCAGGCAGCUUGGGGAACAGGGGAGCCAGCUGCACAACUCCCUGGAACCCUCUCCUCUCUGAUCUCCCUCAGCGAUCCCUGGCCCAGGCAGAGCAGAAGUGUGAAGAGUGGAGGAGCCAGUAUGAGGCUCUGAAGGAGGACUGGAGGACCCUUGGGACCCAGCACAGGGAGCUGGAGAGCCAACUCCACGUGCUUCAGUCCAAACUGCAGGGAGCAGAUAGCAGGGACUUACAGAUGAACCAGGCCCUGCGAUUUUUGGAAAAUGAGCACCAGGAACUGC